AUGGGAGGUGGUAAUAGGCAGAAUAAGUCUUCAUCAUGUUUUGUUUCAAUUUUUGACUGCUUCAAGUCUAAGAAUAAGCAUAGAGCUGGUUACUACGAUUAUGAUGCAGGGCGCAGGACAUGGCCUAGCGAUGAAGACAAAGGUAAUUGGGGUGUUGCUGAGCCCAAUAUUAACAUGAGAGCUGAUGAUUUUAUUCGCAAAUACAAGAAACGUGUUACAGAAUCCGAAUGCUUUGAAGUUGAACCUGCUGUCUAG